AUUCUGAACUGAAAAUGCAUCCAGGCCCGUCGGCUUCUGGGGCAAAAUUGUCGGCUCUUUGUGCGUGAUCGCUGGUGUGCUGACAAUCGCACUGCCGGUACCGGUUAUCGUCAGUAAU
rfam:Drosophila ananassae strain TSC#14024-0371.13 Ctg01_19243, whole genome shotgun sequence.